rnacentral:sRNA from 1 species
UUUUUGCGUUAGGGGUAGAAGCGGCAUCCUUUUGAGUUGAUAAACGAAAAAGAUACAGCGUAUAACCCGCCCGAAC